GUCUCCCACACAAUCACGAACAAAAUCCUCGCACAGAGAGAAGAAAAUAAUGAACGGCGGCGGCUUUGCAGGUUGGAAGUCACGUUGUCGUCGCCUGAAUCGUUAACUUUGGGAGCACAAUCGUCUUCUUUUGAAGUUCAAUCGUCCUUUGGAAUAUGAUUUUACAACCGUUUCCUUUUUUUUCCUCUGUCAUAGACGAUUACUCAUCUGCGCUUCUGGCUUCUGGCUUCAUCGAUUUAAUAAGUUUACUUAAAAAUCCUGGAACUGAUUGUGCUGAUGAGCAUUUCAUGGAAUACAUACGGACACUUGCAAUAGUAUCUUAAGUCUUAAGGUAUUAUUUUCUUGUAUCUUUUGUGUUAAUUUUUUCAAUUAUAUAAAUGUUCACAGCGAGUACAUUACUCUUUUUUUUUACAUCAAAACGACCCUAAGGUCUCAAUUUA